GACGAACGCUGGCGGCGUGCUUAACACAUGCAAGUCGAACGGAAAGGCCCUGCUUUUGUGGGGUGCUCGAGUGGCGAACGGGUGAGUAACACGUGAGUAACCUGCCCUUGACUUUGGGAUAACUUCAGGAAACUGGGGCUAAUACCGGAUAGGAGCUCCUGCUGCAUGGUGGGGGUUGGAAAGUUUCGGCGGUUGGGGAUGGACUCGCGGCUUAUCAGCUUGUUGGUGGGGUAGUGGCUUACCAAGGCUUUGACGGGUAGCCGGCCUGAGAGGGUGACCGGCCACAUUGGGACUGAGAUACGGCCCAGAAUGCUACGGGAGGCAGCAGUGGGGAAUAUUGCACAAUGGGCGGAAGCCUGAUGCAGCAACGUCGCGUGCGGGAUGACGGCCUUCGGGUUGUAAACCGCUUUCGCCUGUGACGAAGCGUGAGUGACGGUAAUGGGUAAAGAAGCACCGGCUAACUACGUG
rnacentral:rRNA from 1 species